AGCACUCACUACUGUAAUUCGCUCUAGAUAAGAGUGUCUGCUAAAUGACAAAAA
rfam:Salmo salar isolate Sally breed double haploid chromosome ssa01, whole genome shotgun sequence.